CACUCCUACGGGAGGCAGCAGUGGGGAAUAUUGGACAAUGGGCGCAAGCCUGAUCCAGCCAUGCCGCGUGAGUGAUGAAGGCCCUAGGGUUGUAAAGCUCUUUCACCGGUGAAGAUAAUGACGGUAACCGGAGAAGAAGCCCCGGCUAACUUCGUGCCAGCAGCCGCGGUAAUACGAAGGGGGCUAGCGUUGUUCGGAUUUACUGGGCGUAAAGCGCACGUAGGCGGACUAUUAAGUCAGGGGUGAAAUCCCGGGGCUCAACCCCGGAACUGCCUUUGAUACUGGUAGUCUUGAGUUCGAGAGAGGUGAGUGGAAUUCCGAGUGUAGAGGUGAAAUUCGUAGAUAUUCGGAGGAACACCAGUGGCGAAGGCGGCUCACUGGCGCGAUACUGACGCUGAGGUGCGAAAGCGUGGGGAGCAAACAGGAUUAGAUACCCGAGUAGUCCCAUGA
rnacentral:rRNA from 1 species